GCCCUCAUUUCUCCGCUUCAGCCCAUGUUUACCGGUGAAACAAAUCCGAGGCCAACGGUCCUCUACCACCCAAUUCAGCCAAUAAGUCCAAGUAAGUGUCGCUCAAACCUUGUAAAUAUUUAGUUAUCAUGUUUAUCUCUUUCCUUUAGAUCUCUUCUUUGAGCUUACUCUCACACAGUCCCUUGUGUGAAGUAAGUUUGGGGGGAGAGUCUACUAUCUCACAUCAUUUUCUGUUUUGUUUACUUGUCAUGAGUCUC
rnacentral:lncRNA from 1 species